CACUGCUUCCCGCAUCCCACCUCAGGGUUGCCUCCUGGUACCUUCCCGUGUAGGAAAAUGAUUUUGUCCCGCGCAGACUCCCUCAGCACCUUCUGCAGUCUGAAGCCGGAGAACGGUAAGCGGACAGGAGCACAGUUCAACAACAAACUUACUGAGAACAGAUGAAUGAAACCUUGCCUGUCCUAUAAGGAAUACAGUCAUCUGCCAGAAGAAAAAUGGUGAUUCUUCCCAGUCCAAAGGUGAAGAUGGUGACUGUGAAAGUAUCAGCUUUAGCCAGACCACUGAUGAAGCUCCCAGAUGUCACAGCAUCCAUGGGCUUGUGAUCUCAGGUGAAGGCAUUGAACCCUGAGCCCUGGAUUCCCAUCUCUUCACUUGCUCCCUCCACCACCCCACCCCCAUAUUCAGAAUGGCCUCUAGGCUUCUAGGUUUGUGUCUUUAAUGGCACCUAGGCAAUAAAUAAAAAAUACAGUGCAGUGCUGACUGCAUCUUCCCUACA
rnacentral:lncRNA from 1 species